AUGGUUUUAGUUGAAUGAUAAGUGUCAUAAUCUUGUCUAAACUAGUCCCAUAACUCUUUUUUAUCUCCUAGGCUGGGUGUAUUUAUUUUCUUUUGCUCUCAAAAUUAUUUUGGAAUUAUGACUUACCAUUAAUACUUGAAAAGUGAUCAAAUAGAGGAAAGCAUUCUAAAGGUGGAGAAAGAGAUGUGCAGCUAACAGGAGACAUUUAUGCAUUAUUUCACCAGCCCAGAAGUUCAAGUUCUAGGAAUUGAAAUGGCAAAGGCCUGAGGACUUUCAGCAUUUUGUCAACACUGACCAAGAGAAGAGGGUGCUGUUCACAAUCCAAGUUCGCAAUCCAAGUGCAUGCUGUCUUUGGAUUAAAUGGUUUAUGCAGAUUGGUCUUGGUUCUUCUGUAGGUUCUGUAUUGGGGAGGGAUGAUGAGUGGAUAGACAUCUUGCAGAUAAGACCCCUUGCCCAGUAUACUGUGGGGUUCACUGUAGUUGUGGAGGAAGAACUUUCAGUUUGGGGGCAGAGCACAAUUUUUGUGUCCCUUUACUCAAAAUGCUAACUCAGUCUGAUCUCUGGUAGGUGUCCUGAAUUGUCUUUAAAAAGUGAUCGAGAUUAUGUUUUCAAUUUUGAAUAUACUGCUGAACCCCUGACAUGCAGAGCAAUCUAUCUGGACUGAAAACUUGGCCAGGGAUGGUCUAUGCCAAGCAGUGAAGGCUGUGAAGAGAUGCUUGGGAAGGGUACAAGAAGGAAGGAAAGGAGCCCCCUGGGACAAUGAAGGAAGAUGCUGUGGUUAGCCCCGGGGCUCAGAAAACAGGCAGAGGAAAGAUGAAAGAAAGAAAAUUAAGGAAAAGAGGAAAACAAGCAAAAAACUCAGCAAAGAUGUCAUUGCAUAAUAGUCCAUUAUGCCUCCAAUUGAGCCGUCAUGAACUAUCAAAGAAAUAAUUGCGCAAUAAGCCCAUAAUGGCUUAAUCGUGUCAACAUCUUUGCAUUUACAUAUUUUUUUAAUCAAUGGAAAUUAAGUACAAAAAU
rnacentral:lncRNA from 1 species